UACGUAGGGUGCAAACGUUGUCCGGAAUUAUUGGGCGUAAAGAGCUCGUAGGCGGUUCGUCGCGUCGGCUGUGAAAUCCCGAGGCUCAACCUCGGGUCUGCAGUCGAUACGGGCGGACUGGAGUUCGGCAGGGGAGACUGGAAUUCCUGGUGUAGCGGUGAAAUGCGCAGAUAUCAGGAGGAACACCGGUGGCGAAGGCGGGUCUCUGGGCCGAUACUGACGCUGAGGAGCGAAAGCGUGGGGAGCGAACAGG
rnacentral:rRNA from 1 species